CACAAAGCCUUUCUCUGAGUCUUGUAUUCAUAUCUAAUUAGAGGAUUCAGAUUUAUUGGGUUUGACAGCUAAAUUUUGGUUUUUUUAUCUUGUUCUACUUCUUUUCCAUGUUGUCAACUUCAAUAAUUUCUUCAGGUACCCUCAAUUUAGUCCAUCAGCGAAGGUCAAUUCACAUAAGUUAACCUAAACUCGAUUCAAUCUUCAUCAAAACCUAAAUUUGGAUACCAUUUAGCACUUGCAGCAAGAUUCAACAUGGAAACCUAAAAUCGACAUCAACUACAUCAGUUCUUGAAGAGGAUUUGAUAAGGUUCAAUAUCAGCAAAAUCAAUUCAUUCGAAAGAUAAGUUUAUUCUUUUACUGUAUUUUCAAUUCAUUCGAAAAACUUAAUUAAUCGAUUUUGAAUUGGUCUGCAACUUAUGAGAACUGUUUCUUAAGGUUCUGAAAAACCUAAAAACCCAUCCAUUUGAUUUGAUUUAAUUUGUUGAGAAGAAAUGAAAUAAAGUAAAUGCUCCAAUAAUUCGGUGAGUUGGGUACCAAUUGAUUUCAUUAUGAAGAUGAAUUUGGGGUUUUUCUCGCUAUCUGGUGUUGUCUGUUUUGAUAGAGUUUCUGGUAAUUGUGGAAUUGAAGCUGAAGUGGUGCAGAUGGUUUUGUUGUUGAUGAUUAUCGGUAUGAGAUGAUUUGAGCUCAAUAUCUGGUGUUGGUGGGGUUCUAGAACUGAGACCCGAGAUAAAUGAGAACUCAGAUUUGUUGGUUGUAGCACAUCAGCAGCAAAAUAAGGGUGUAACUAUGAAUUUAAGAUGGAUUCUCCUUUGGACCUGGAUUUGUCCAAAAAAUUUGGUAAGUUACUAAUUUUGAUGUUCCUGGUUGCCGUUGCUGCCACAAAAAUUGGAAAGGCUGGAGCUGUAGAUAAAGAACUCCAAAAGCUUAAGAAUAAGCUGGAGAUGAUCGCGGCUGUAACAUCGGAUGCCGAAAAGAAGCAGGUAUAAGCAAACACCACCCAAUCGAAGGGGGUGGCUACGAUGUAUGCUGCAGCAGGGAGGAUAUAGCUAAUAAAGUGAAAUAUUGCAUCAACCAAAUAGGCAGCCGUGCACUUUCUCUUCUUUUCUAAGAAGUAAUUCCUGGUUUUCUCCUUUUUAACUGAUGUGUGGUUCUGGUGGAACGGAUAUGGAGUAGAAGGAGAUGGAUGCUGAGAAAAUGGGAAUUGCAGUUGCAGUUUGUUAGUUGCAGCUUAAGAGAAGGUUGGUGCUGUUACUGCAAUGGCUGAUGAUACGCAAUACUGAAAUGAAAUUGGUUGCUGCAUCGAGCUGGUGAACGAAUGAACAAUGUAGAUGAAUGCUUAGGUUUGCAGGGGUGCCGUUAUUCGUGAGAAAUUGGUUUUGAUGAAUUUUUGAAGAUGAGAAUGGCAGAGAAAAGGUACCGGAGAUGCUGAUACAUCCGUCAACAGUAAUGGAGAAACAAGGUUUGCAGAGUUUCUGAUGUCAAGACUAAAUGGUGGUUGCUUAAUAGAAAAUUCGUGACAGAAUUUUGAAGCCAAUUCAUGAGUGACAUGUGUCAAACAGUAGUUGAUGUGAUGACCUGUAUUACAUAGUCAAAACCGAGUCAAUAUGCAGACUCGGCGAGUUAAAUGGGAACUCAGUGAGUUGGAAAGGUUUUAAGGAUCGAUAAGUCUUUUUAUCCAAACUUAACGGAGACAAAAAGGUGGAUAACUGCCGUUUAACGUUUUUUCAUUGUACUGGUCAAAAUCGACAUAGAUUUGUGAACUUGAAAAAAACGGGCCUAAAAUUGUAACCCUCAAAAAAAAAAAAAAAACAGGCCUAGAUCUGUGUUUUAUCC